rnacentral:pre_miRNA from 1 species
CCUCUGUUAGGAAGGGUGUCGGGGGAGAGGUUGUCCUGUGUCUGUAAAUAUGCAAAACUUAUUUUCCCCAAGGCAGAGGGA